CCUGGCCACUCCCCACAGGCUGCUCCUCCCGUCUGCCCAAGCACACACCAUCUGUGCCCACAGAAACUGCAUGAACCUCCCUCCCUGAGGGACAGGACAUGGACAAGCGUGUGACACUGAUACAGUGCACGAGGCACUCGCAUUUCAAGCUCAUCAGCCUGGGAUAAGGACCUAAGCAGAACAGUAGAGGGGUUACGUUGACCUGAAAGAAAGAUCACUAUCAGCUGCCACGCAGUCGUCAGUGCUCAUAAGCCAGGCAAACACAAGCCAGGAGCCUGAGUUCCACUGCUCCCUUAGCUGGUCAUCUAAUGUGUGUCUGCCUCUUCCCCUCAGUGAAGUUUGGGAUGAAUUACUCACUUCCCCAUUCCUCCAGCCCAAGACUUGAAAAACUGGUUGAGUUCCAGCCCCACCCAGACACACUUGCUUCUAAAAUAUCUGUCAUCUAAUGUUCAACUCGCGCUCGCAGUUCUACCAGACUUGGCAGUGAUGGCAGUGGAGGAGAGGAGCAAGGAAGAAGCUGCUAAACUUUCUUCCAUUUAAAUUCAUGUUCAUGAUUUCAGUGGUGCAGCACAAGUAACCAUAAGCAAUGAAACAAUUUCUGUUUUCACAUAAAAAAUGUGAAGCAUCAAAAAAUAUUUUCAUUAAGAAUGGACUUCAAUAACUUGUCAGAGCAAUAAAACCAUUCUUAUAAAGAUCAGCUAUUACACUUUCCACGGGAAAAAAGAAGAAUAAUCUUAUUAAUCCUAAGUGACUUCUUCAAAUGAAACCAUAAAUGACUUAUUUCCUUCCAUUUUCCAGUGUAUAUUAUCAGUAAAGCGUUAAUGAAAUGAGACUCCAGUGAAAAUCCCUCAGAGGGCUUUUUUUCAAAUAAGGAUCAGUUUGGUUCAGCAUAGCAAACAUACGUGGUCAGAGGGAACAAAUUUGCAGGAAAUAAAUCUGCAGAAUGAAUAUCUCGGCAGUUAGAAGGAAAAGCUCAUAUGUUGUACAAUGUUUCCAUAUGAAAUGCAUUUGAAUACGAGCGGUUCUAUUUAGAGACGGACCUUUCAUCCAAGCAU
ensembl:lncRNA